CUUUCUUUGAGAUAUUAAAGUAAUUGAAGUGGCUGGCCCUGAGGGAAAGUCGUGGGUUAAAGACUUUGGUUACAGAUAUUUAAUUUCGUCGUCUCUCGCAAACUUCUUCCGACAAUCAAACUCGCUUUCCUGUUCUAAACGUCAUCAAAAAAUUUGUCAAGAGUUGUAAAAAAAUAAUACUAACUCUGGUUGGAACAAAUUGGAAUCAUCUUUAAAAUAUAUUGAAUUCCUAUUAUUAGAAGGACAAUGAUAACUGGAAUUUUGCAACAUAUUCCCAGUGAACAUUCACAAUAGAGUGAUUUUUGAAUUUGGAUGCCAAUACUGGACGUUCAAUAAUUCACUCAGAAUUUGAGCGAAAAAUCCAUCUUCACCACACUUGAUUUCGAAUAGUGCCGAAGGGCAGGAGAACAGCUAUAACCACACUGCUUGGAUUGUUCGAAUUCAACAAGAUACCAUUCGGGCUGUACAAUGCGGCGCAAACUUUUCAACGGUUCAUGGACCAAGUCUUCAGCGGACUUCACAGUUUGCUACCUAGACAACAUCUGCAUCGCGUCUUAUAACGAAGCCGAAAACAUUCCCCACAUCUGCACAGUGUUUCAGCAUUUACAUCAAUUCGGUCUCAAACUCAGCAUCACUUAAUGCGUAUUUGCUCAGUCAAAAAUUAUCUUUCUCGACAAGUGUAUUGGAUAAAAUAGCUCACGUCUUCUAAAAGAAAGAUUGAAACCAAUUCUCGACUGUCCAAAAUCAAACAGCAUGCAAAAAUUUCGUAGUUUUCUGUCCAAGGAAAACUACAAAAGCUGCUAACAGAGAAUCGCAAAAAUGACAAAAUGCCAAUUAGUUGGACAGAAGAAGCUGCAUCAGCAUUCAUCAGUUAUAAAAAGCUGUUGUCAAUGCCAGUUCAGGCGAGCAAUACCGCGGUGAGAGCUACAUUGCAUCACAUCCUUAAAGAACAACUUGAACCCCUUGGGUUCUAUUCCAAUCGGUUGACGGCAGUACAGCACCUACGAUAGAGAACUGCUCGCAAAUACCAAUAAUCGUUAGGAAGAAGCAAUAUAAAAUAGAAAAAAUUAAACAUUUGGUUUGGAAAAACAAAAAUUCGACAUAUAGAAUGUACUUUCCCAUUUUCCUAUCGGCAGGGAACAAUACUUUUAUUAGAGUUAUAGAGAAAUUUGAGUUAUAGAAGUUCGAGUUAUGGAAGUAGAAUUGUAUGUAAUUUGCUCUCUAAAACCUUGGAGCACUGCUUUUGGUUUGAGUCAUAGAAAAUUCGAGUUAUAGAAGUUCGAUUUA